UACGAAGGGGGCUAGCGUUGCUCGGAAUGACUGGGCGUAAAGGGCGCGUAGGCGGAUUGAUUAGUUAGGCGUGAAAUUCCUGGGCUUAACCUGGGGGCUGCGCUUAAUACAGUCAGUCUUGAGUGUGGAAGAGGGUCGUGGAAUUCCCAGUGUAGAGGUGAAAUUCGUAGAUAUUGGGAAGAACACCGGUGGCGAAGGCGGCGACCUGGUCCAUUACUGACGCUGAGGCGCGAAAGCGUGGGGAUCAAACAGG
rnacentral:rRNA from 1 species